rnacentral:rRNA from 1 species
GAUGAACGCUGGCGGUGUGCCUAAUACAUGCAAGUCGAGCGAACAGACGAGGAGCUUACUCCUCUGACGUUAGCGGCGGACGGGUGAGUAACACGUGGAUAACCCACCUAUAAGACUGGGAUAACUUCGGGAAACCGGAGCUAAUACCGGAUAACAUGUUGAACCGCAUGGUUCAACAGUGAAAGACGGUCUUGCUGUCACUUAUAGAUGGAUCCGCGUCGCAUUAGCUAGUUGGUAAGGUAACGGCUUACCAAGGCAACGAUGCGUAGCCGACCUGAGAGGGUGAUCGGCCACACUGGAACUGAGACACGGUCCAGACUCCUACGGGAGGCAGCAGUAGGGAAUCUUCCGCAAUGGGCGAAAGCCUGACGGAGCAACGCCGCGUGAGUGAAGAAGGCCUUCGGAUCGUAAAACUCUGUUAUUAGGGAAGAACAAAUGUGUAAGUAACUAUGCACGUCUUGACGGUACCUAAUCAGAAAGCCACGGCUAACUACGUG